AUUGAACGCUGGCGGAAUGCUUUACACAUGCAAGUCGAGCGGCAGCGCGGGGCAACCUGGCGGCGAGCGGCGAACGGGUGAGUAAUACAUCGGAACGUACCCAGUAGUGGGGGAUAGCCCGGCGAAAGCCGGAUUAAUACCGCAUACGACCUACGGGCGAAAGCGGGGGACCGCAAGGCCUCGCGCUGUUGGAGCGGCCGAUGUCAGAUUUGGUUGUUGGUGGGGUAAAGGCCUACCAAGCCGACGAUCUGUAGUUGGUCUGAGAGGACGACCAGCCACACUGGGACUGAGACACGGCCCAGACUCCUACGGGAGGCAGCAGUGGGGAAUUUUGGACAAUGGGGGCAACCCUGAUCCAGCCAUGCCGCGUGCGGGAAGAAGGCCUUCGGGUUGUAAACCGCUUUUGUCGGGGAAGAAAUCUUCCGGGCUAAUACCUCGGGGGGAUGACGGUACCCGAAGAAUAAGCACCGGCUAACUACGUGCCAGCAGCCGCAGUAACAC
rnacentral:rRNA from 1 species